rnacentral:misc_RNA from 1 species
GUAGGUGAACCUGCGGAAGGAUCAUUAACACGUAUCCACGUAUCAACCCCUAGUGUCACGAGUGCGCGAGCCGGUCAAACGUUUAGUUGACCGUAUGCAACACACGCCUGGCGUUUGUUGCGCGUGCUCAGUUCUCUUUUUUUUCCAAUUAUUAAAAUAACCACUUGAACCCAUCAGACUAAAACUAUUUCGAGUUUUUGCGCGGCUUUUUGCUGCUCUAAAACCGAAACAAUAAAAUAACAAGAAACAACUCUUAGCGACGGAUUUCUUGGCUCCC